AAGCGCCGCGCGCAGCCCUGGUUCCCGCCCAUGCCUCUCCCUCCACACCACCCCGCAAGCUGAGGGAGCGGGUUGCGGCCUUGGCCAGUCCAGAAAGGGGCUCCCACAGUGCAGCGGUGGGCUGAAGGGCUCCUCAAGUGCAGCUGGAGUGGGCACCAGGGCCGAGGAGGUGCUCAGAGCGAGUGAGGGCUGCGAGGGCUGCCAGCAUUCUGUCACCUCUCAUCAUGAGAUCGGAUGGAUUUAUCAGGUGUUUCCAGUUUUGCUUCUUCGUCAUUUUCUGUCUUGUCGCCACCAGAUAAGAAGUGACUUUCGCCCUCUGCCAUGAUUGUGAGACCUCCUCAGCCACGUGGAACUUCUUUGAGUAUGCUCAGCGCGUGCCAUCAUGGGGCCAUGUUCUUCCCCUUUGCUCUUGGAGAAUAGACAAAGCUACCCAGCCCAGCCACAGCCUCAUAAUCUUGUUCUACCUCCCUCUCCAGCCUCAACUAUUUCCAGGCUCCAGCUCAAGUCAUACAUCAGUUGUGUGCCAUGUGUGGAUGUGCACCAAGAGAGAUGAAGCCAUAUCUUCUACAACUCUUCAGUUUUUGAAAUUCAGAAGUUUCAAGAUUACGUUGACUGAAGUAGAUCAUAUUUGGCAAAGCUGUAGGUGACAGGGAAAGUUAAUCAACUGGAAGGAAAUGGAAGGGAAGAAUGUGGUCUACCUCUUCUCUCUCUACUUGAAAUUCAAGCAAGACCUUGGAGAAUACAGGUGGAGCUGGACCUGCAACCGGUGAUUGAACUACCAGUUUCUGAAGGCCACCCAUUCACACCUAUUUCCCGCUACUCCAGGCUAUCUGCAGCUGGAGGAGGCCGUGAGUCACCGUUUUGAGCCUAGAGAUGUAAACAGAAGUUGCUGGGAAGAGCUUCUAGGAAGCCUCUGUAAGAUGAUUAUCUCAGUUGGGUCUGUCUUUUUGCUUUGUCCAUCCCUUUUUUAACUUUGGAGUGUGCGUGUGAUACAGGAGGUGAAGCAGUCAUUUUGUGACUAUGAGGAGAUAAAGCCACAUGGGUAAGUUGGCAGAGCAGGACACUGGGAGAAGCAUGUGCUUCUGUUGGCAAUGAGGGAUCAUCAUACUAUUCCUAAACAGUCUAAGUCCUGAGGUCUCGUGUGUGUUCUUACUUGUUCAUUACUCUACUUUUUCAGGUUGUAUAUUACUUACAGUUCAAUACAAUCUAAACCUUAACCAGUCAUUCUCCUAGUUAGACUGUGAGCUCCUAGAGGGAAGUUUGGCAUGUGAUAUGUUUCUUAUGGUCCCUGCAGUAUCUAGCACGUGCUAGUAGGGAUCAGGUAUGCAAUACUCAUCUAUUGAUUGAUUUGGGAUACAGUGAGUUGAGGUAAGAGAGAAACAGAAGUCAACUCCAACACGUCAAAGAAUAAAGUUUGCUGUUGGUCUCAACAGCCCCAGGGCAUCUUUACUGCAGUGUGAUCUCUCUCUCCUAUCCAGUGAGGCUCCAAAAUAUGGCUUUAAUUAUCCUUCCUAAGUUUUACAAAAUUCACUGAGCUUUUGUCUUUAAAACAGUAUUCCUUCCCCAUCUCUGGUGUGAAAAAAAAAUUACGACCAGAGUUUUACAUCUUUUUCUUUCCGAUAUUUCCAGAAAAGUAUGCCCUAGUCUAAUUUGCAGGUGGAAAUUGAAAAUGUAUCUCGCUGACCUCAAGGGAUGAUAUUCAGGAGCUUCAGGGAAUCUUCAGCUAAUGGGAGAAGCACAAGCAGAUUAAUGGAUCCCAAAGACAAAAUGCCUAUCCUAGCUCAAAUGACAUCUCGUGGAUCUUGAAAAGUGGAGCUUUCUGUGCCCAUCUUCAGAAAGAGACAUCAGACAAUCUUAACAUUUCUGCAGCUGAACAUGGGAUGAGAAGAGGGCAAUCUUCCAGUGGGUCCACCACAUUUUCUUUCCAAUUGAGCCAAUUCAUGGUCUCUUCUGGCAACUGCAAGGCCAGAUGUGAAUUUACCACUUUAUUGAGUGAAGCGGUCUGGGCAUUGUGAGACUCACAUAUGCACCCAGAGGGGAAGGGACCCUCACUCUGGGAAUGGAAAUCAAUUCAUAAUUGUACCCAGACAAAUGGGGCACACACUUCAGAUCUAUUACAGGAUUUAGUCGGAAUCAGAAGAACAAAGGCAUAAAGUAGAAACACAUUCAUAUGCCAGGCACAGGUAGGGGCUGGGGAGGGUAGAAAGUCCAGGGUUCCUGGCCGGCGAAGAAGGGCUCUGCUCAGCAUCUCAUGCUGGAGUGCAAGAGUAUAAAAUAAGGUAACUAAGGACAUGAAGCUUGGCCGCCUGCACCAUUUGAAAAAAGAAAAAUCAAACUGUGUUUUAUGAGUUUUUCUGGCUGAGUGGGCUGAUGGUAAAAGUGAUUGCAUAAGUGAAUAAAUUGAAAUAUGUAUCCUGGUUGUGUCAAAAGCAAAAAUAAUUAUUUUGUUCUUGGUGAGAUAUAGUGUUUAACUGCCAACACAUCAACCCAAAUAAAAAGGAAAUCUGCCUUUAGAUCUAGUAAUACAUUUAUUAACAAAUGAUGUAUCUGAAUUAUCCAUCGUUUUGAUCCACAUUUUGCAGAAAGGCA
rnacentral:lncRNA from 1 species